rnacentral:rRNA from 1 species
GAUGAACGCUGGCGGCGUGCCUAAUACAUGCAAGUCGAGCGAACAGAUGAGGAGCUUGCUCCUCUGACGUUAGCGGCGGACGGGUGAGUAACACGUGGAUAACCUACCUAUAAGACUGGGAUAACUUCGGGAAACCGGAGCUAAUACCGGAUAAUAUAUUGAACCGCAUGGUUCAAUAGUGAAAGACGGUUUUGCUGUCACUUAUAGAUGGAUCCGCGCCGCAUUAGCUAGUUGGUAAGGUAACGGCUUACCAAGGCGACGAUGCGUAGCCGACCUGAGAGGGUGAUCGGCCACACUGGAACUGAGACACGGUCCAGACUCCUACGGGAGGCAGCAGUAGGGAAUCUUCCGCAAUGGGCGAAAGCCUGACGGAGCAACGCCGCGGGAGUGAUGAAGGUCUUCGGAUCGUAAAACUCUGUUAUUAGGGAAGAACAAAUGUGUAAGUAACUAUGCACGUCUUGACGGUACCUAAUCAGAAAGCCACGGCUAACUACGUG